ensembl:lncRNA
GAAGUUAUACUUACUUUGAUAUAAUUCGGAAAGCAGAUUUUAAACAUUUGAUAUCUCAGUUUGUUAAGUGCUUUACAAUCCCAGUUGAUUCCGACCGAAUUAAGAAAACAUGGGCUGAAGACCUCGGGGUCCCUCUGUCUGAAGACCAAUGGUCAAAUUGUUUGUCCAAUAUUCAGAAAGGCUCAAUAAAUGCCAGAUAUAAACUAAUCCAGUUUAAAGUCAUUCAUAGACUACACUUUUCUAAACUUAAACUUAACCGGAUCUAUAAUUCUGUAUCAGUCGAAUCUUUUUCCUUUUCACAAAAACAGAUAAUUACAAUGGGUAUGCUGGCUGCAAAGAAACUUAUUCUUUUACAGUGGCGGUCUUCUUCGGCCCCGUGUUUUAACAGGUGGCUUAAUGAGAUGGUGUCUGUGGCCAGGGUGGAGCAGAUAAGAUUUGAUAGAGAGGGGAAACUGGCGAGUUUUUGUAUGAUUUGGCAACCAUUUCUAGAAUUCUUAAAAAAAUAACUGAUCAUAAUUCAUGCCUCACACUCCGCGUGAAUUAUUUUGUUUGUUUGUUUUUGUUUUUUUGUUUUUUUCUUCCUCUUCUUUUUCUUCUUUUUUCCUUUCUUUUUUUUUCCUUUCAUGCUUAUAAGUUCACAAAUGUUAAAAACAGUAAUUGUUCUUGGUUGAUUUUGUAUAAGCAUGUUAUGUUUAAUUUAAAUGCAAAAAUAAAAUUUAAGAAGCUUUGAGGGAUGGUAUGAAGUAUUGCACACACACAUUGCAUCUGUAUAUAAUGAGUUUUGCCAAAUUAUGUUUUUUCAUAUCAUGAAACGUGAAAGAAAGCAUAUCAAGUUUGUGUUAUUCAAAUCUUGCAUGAAAAUACUUUGUAGUCUUGUGCAUGAUAAACAUGUUAGAUUAUCGUACUGUAGUGAAUUUAUAGUUGUGUUGGACAUUUGAACACUGGCUGUGAGGCUCAUGGUCAGUGUUUGGUUACAUCAAGUGUUACAGAAUAAUUUGCAUUUUAAGCUGAUGACGCUUAAUUAUUUCACCGAAUUCCACCUUUA